UUCGGGCAAUGCAAGAAACAUCAACUUUGUGCAUGUAUAAAUAAUACACAGCUGUUCAUUUAUAAUCGAGAUUUUUUUCAACUGUAUCUAUAUAUUCUUUGUGCAUACGAAUAAUAAGCAUUAAACAAAUGGUGGAAAAAUUUCAUGGGAUUAAUUACUGUCCUGUUGAAGCUCUUGUGCGUAAAGUAAAAAUGGUUAAUUUUUAAUUUUCGGAUUGUAAGGGCGAUUGAUUCACGAGAGAUUAGCUUAUCCUCCUCACCGGCAGGAUGAAACGCAGUUGCUGGCACUGAUUUCGCGGAAUUGGAUAUCUACGGUAUAACUUGGUAAACUUGAUUUGUAUCAAAUUGAUUUUAUAUUAUACAGAAGAUUUUACACUGUGAAACAUUUGCGGAGUGAACAUGGAGUGAAUCCGGAGUUAUCACGAAGUGGAGGAUUUUUUAUUUAUUUAAUUUCCAUGGAGUGAAUUUCACUGCGAAGGGGAAUUGCGGAAAAUAUUAAUCAUAAAAACAAUUACUAAUGCAUAGUGAGUUUAGGUAUUUGAUAUUGACAUCUCUAUAUUGAGUACGAAAAUAAAUACGAACUCCCUUUCCAUGUAUUCAAGUGAAGUGAUUUUUAAAAAUUAUAAGCAGCUGAUAAUAAAACGUUAACAAAUAUAAUUCCACUGAGACACAAACUGUCGUA